rnacentral:tRNA from 1 species
GCAUUCGUGGUGUAAUGGUCAGCACACUCGGCACGUAUUCAAGAGUUUCGAGGUUCGACUCCCGGCGAAGGCA